rnacentral:lncRNA from 1 species
GAGACGAUGGAAGCAAAGAUCAUUCAACUCGGAGCUCCUGUAUCUUCACUGCCUGGGAUGGUUCAGGUGAGCCCGGUGGGGUCGGGGAGGGUAUGCCAUGGUAUUGGGGUCUUACCACCUCACCAUGGCUGCUUUACCUUGAGGUCUUCGAUCAGUGGGGAGGGGCUCCACCUGGCUGCUGAGGCCUGGUGACUCUGCAGCUCUGGCUCUGCAGGGUACACACGUUGCUCCAUGAAGUGCUUCAGCCGGUGAUACAGCUCUCUGACAGGUGGAGAGAGGCUCUCUGGAGAGAUAACCAGACCUCCCCUUGAGGUAUGAGCUGGGGAAGCUUCUGGAACGGAGCUAUAACUCCUGCUGCCUGUGGGGCACCACUGGGACUGGGGCCUGGCCCACGUGUGGUAGGACCUUGUUAACGGAUUUGUGAAGGGCAUCUCUUUGAAAACCCGGAACCCUUCUUUGACUGCGAAAUCCCACGCCAGGUUAGACACAAAUUCGGUCAGCUUUCCAGUUUGUUCCGCAGCCUGCAGAUCCACACUGUGAAUUUUGCACAGGAC